GUUAUAUGGUCAAGUGAAGAAGCGCAUACGGUGGAUGCCUUGGCAGUCAGAGGCGAUGAAAGACGUGGUAGCCUGCGAAAAGCUUCGGGGAGUCGGCAAACAGACUUUGAUCCGGAGAUCUCUGAAUGGGGGAACCCACCUAGGAUAACCUAGGUAUCUUGUACUGAAUCCAUAGGUGCAAGAGGCGAACCAGGGGAACUGAAACAUCUAAGUACCCUGAGGAAAAGAAAUCAACCGAGAUUCCCUUAGUAGUGGCGAGCGAACGGGGAUUAGCCCUUAAGCUUCAUUGAUUUUAGCGGAACGCUCUGGAAAGUGCGGCCAUAGUGGGUGAUAGCCCCGUACGCGAAAGGAUCUUUGAAGUGAAAUCGAGUAGGACGGAGCACGAGAAACUUUGUCUGAACAUGGGGGGACCAUCCUCCAAGGCUAAAUACUACUGACUGACCGAUAGUGAACCAGUACCGUGAGGGAAAGGCGAAAAGAACCCCGGAGAGGGGAGUGAAAUAGAACCUGAAACCGUAUGCGUACAAGCAGUGGGAGCCUACUUGUUAGGUGACUGCGUACCUUUUGUAUAAUGGGUCAGCGACUUAUAUUCAGUGGCAAGCUUAACCGUAUAGGGUAGGCGUAGCGAAAGCGAGUCUUAAUAGGGCGUUUAGUCGCUGGGUAUAGACCCGAAACCGGGCGAUCUAUCCAUGAGCAGGUUGAAGGUUAGGUAACACUGACUGGAGGACCGAACCCACUCCCGUUGAAAAGGUAGGGGAUGACUUGUGGAUCGGAGUGAAAGGCUAAUCAAGCUCGGAGAUAGCUGGUUCUCCUCGAAAGCUAUUUAGGUAGCGCCUCAUGUAUCACUCUGGGGGGUAGAGCACUGUUUCGGCUAGGGGGUCAUCCCGACUUACCAAACCGAUGCAAACUCCGAAUACCCAGAAGUGCCGAGCAUGGGAGACACACGGCGGGUGCUAACGUCCGUCGUGAAAAGGGAAACAACCCAGACCGCCAGCUAAGGUCCCAAAGUUGUGGUUAAGUGGUAAACGAUGUGGGAAGGCUUAGACAGCUAGGAGGUUGGCUUAGAAGCAGCCACCCUUUAAAGAAAGCGUAAUAGCUCACUAGUCGAGUCGGCCUGCGCGGAAGAUGUAACGGGGCUCAAACCACACACCGAAGCUGCGGGUGUCACGUAAAGUGACGCGGUAGAGGAGCGUUCUGUAAGCCUGUGAAGGUGAGUUGAGAAGCUUGCUGGAGGUAUCAGAAGUGCGAAUGCUGACAUGAGUAACGACAAUGGGUGUGAAAAACACCCACGCCGAAAGACCAAGGGUUCCUGCGCAACGUUAAUCGACGCAGGGUUAGUCGGUUCCUAAGGCGAGGCUGAAAAGCGUAGUCGAUGGGAAACAGGUUAAUAUUCCUGUACUUCUGGUUACUGCGAUGGAGGGACGGAGAAGGCUAGGCCAGCUUGGCGUUGGUUGUCCAAGUUUAAGGUGGUAGGCUGAAAUCUUAGGUAAAUCCGGGGUUUCAAGGCCGAGAGCUGAUGACGAGUCGUCUUUUAGAUGACGAAGUGGUUGAUGCCAUGCUUCCAAGAAAAGCUUCUAAGCUUCAGGUAACCAGGAACCGUACCCCAAACCGACACAGGUGGUCGGGUAGAGAAUACCAAGGCGCUUGAGAGAACUCGGGUGAAGGAACUAGGCAAAAUGGCACCGUAACUUCGGGAGAAGGUGCGCCGGCUAGGGUGAAGGAUUUACUCCGUAAGCUCUGGCUGGUCGAAGAUACCAGGCCGCUGCGACUGUUUAUUAAAAACACAGCACUCUGCAAACACGAAAGUGGACGUAUAGGGUGUGACGCCUGCCCGGUGCCGGAAGGUUAAUUGAUGGGGUUAGCGCAAGCGAAGCUCUUGAUCGAAGCCCCGGUAAACGGCGGCCGUAACUAUAACGGUCCUAAGGUAGCGAAAUUCCUUGUCGGGUAAGUUCCGACCUGCACGAAUGGCGUAACGAUGGCGGCGCUGUCUCCACCCGAGACUCAGUGAAAUUGAAAUCGCUGUGAAGAUGCAGUGUAUCCGCGGCUAGACGGAAAGACCCCGUGAACCUUUACUGUAGCUUUGCACUGGACUUUGAGCCUGCUUGUGUAGGAUAGGUGGGAGGCUUUGAAGCGUGGACGCCAGUUCGCGUGGAGCCAUCCUUGAAAUACCACCCUGGCAUGCUUGAGGUUCUAACUCUGGUCCGUGAUCCGGAUCGAGGACAGUGUAUGGUGGGCAGUUUGACUGGGGCGGUCUCCUCCUAAAGAGUAACGGAGGAGUACGAAGGUGCGCUCAGACCGGUCGGAAAUCGGUCGCAGAGUAUAAAGGCAAAAGCGCGCUUGACUGCGAGACAGACACGUCGAGCAGGUACGAAAGUAGGUCUUAGUGAUCCGGUGGUUCUGUAUGGAAGGGCCAUCGCUCAACGGAUAAAAGGUACUCCGGGGAUAACAGGCUGAUACCGCCCAAGAGUUCAUAUCGACGGCGGUGUUUGGCACCUCGAUGUCGGCUCAUCACAUCCUGGGGCUGAAGCCGGUCCCAAGGGUAUGGCUGUUCGCCAUUUAAAGUGGUACGCGAGCUGGGUUUAGAACGUCGUGAGACAGUUCGGUCCCUAUCUGCCGUGGACGUUUGAGAUUUGAGAGGGGCUGCUCCUAGUACGAGAGGACCGGAGUGGACGAACCUCUGGUGUUCCGGUUGUCACGCCAGUGGCAUUGCCGGGUAGCUAUGUUCGGAAAAGAUAACCGCUGAAAGCAUCUAAGCGGGAAACUUGCCUCAAGAUGAGAUCUCACUGGGAACUUGAUUCCCCUGAAGGGCCGUCGAAGACUACGACGUUGAUAGGCUGGGUGUGUAAGCGUUGUGAGGCGUUGAGCUAACCAGUACUAAUUGCCCGUGAGGCUUGACCAUAUAACACCCAAACA
rnacentral:rRNA from 1 species